CCCGCGUAGAGUAUGAUCGUGGCUCAGUUUGAACGCAGGCGGUAGACCUAACAUAUGCAAAUCGAGCGGAUGAGGAGAGCUUGCUCUCAGAUUCAGCGGCGAACGGGUGAGUAAUGCCUAGGAAUCUGCCUGGUAGUGGGGGACAAAGUUUCGGAAGGAACGCGAAUACCGCGUACGUCCUACGGGAGAAGGUGGGGGAUCUUCGGGCCUCACGCUAUCAGAUGAGGCUACGUCAGAUUAGCUAGUUGGUGGGGUCAUGGCCUACGAAGGCGACGAUCCGUAACUGGUCCGAGAGUAUGAUCAGUCACACUGGAACUCAGACACAGUCCAGACUCCUACGGGAGGCAGCAGUGGGGAAUAUUGAACAAUGGGCGACAGCCUGAUCCAGCCGUGCCGCGUGUGUGAAGAUGGUCUUCGGAUUGUGAAGCACUUUAAGUUGGUAGGAAGGGCUGAUGGUUAAUACACUGCCGUUUUGACGUUACCAACAGAAUAAGCAACGGCUAACUUCGUGCCAGCAGACGAGGUGAUACGAAGGGUGCAAGCGUUAAUCGGACUUACUGGGCGUAAAGGCGCGCGCAGGUGGUUGGGUAAGUUAAACGUGAAAGCCCCGGGCCCAACCUGGGAACUGCAUCCAAAACUCCCCGCCUAGAGUGCGGUAGAGGGUGGUGGAAUUUCCUGUGUAGCGGUGCAAUGCGUAGAUAUAGCAAGGAACACCAGUGACGAAGGAGACCACCCGGACUGAUGCUGACACUGAGGUGCGAAAGCGUGGGGAGCAAAAAGGAUUAGAUACCCUGGUAGUACACGCCGUAAGCGAUGUAGACUACCCGUUGAGCUCCUUGAGAGCUUGGUGGCACAGGUAAAGCAUUAAGUCGGCCGCGUGGGGAGUACGGCCGCAAGGUUAAAACUCAAAUGAAUUGGCGGGGGCACGCACAAGCUGUGGAGCAUGUGGUUUAAUUCGAAGCCACGCGAAGAACGUUACCUGGCCUUGACAUCCUGAGAACCUUUCAGAGAUGACAGGGUGCCUACGGGAACGCAGAGACCGGUGCUGCAUGACUGUCGACAGCUCAUGUCCUGAGCUGUUGGGUUAAGUCCCGUAACGAGCGAAACCCUUGUCCUUAGUUACCAGCACCUCUGGUGGGCACUCGAAGGAAACUGCCGGAGACAAACCUGAGGAAGGUGGAGAUGACGUCAAGUCAUCAUGGCCGUUACGGCCAGGGCUACACACGUGGUACGAUGGUCGGUACAGAGGGUUGCCAAGCCGCGAAGUGGAACUAAUCCCACAAAACCCAUCGUAGUCAGGAUCGCAGUCUGCAACUCGACUGCGUGAAGUCGGAAUCGCUAUUAACCGCGAAUCAGAAUGUCGCGGUGCAUACGUUGCCGGGCGUUGUAAACACCGCCCGUCACGCCAUGGAAGUGGGUUGCGCCAGAAGUCGCUAGUCCAACGUUCGGGGGGAAGGUUACCACGGAGUGAUUCGUGACUGGGGUCAAGACGUAAAAAG
rnacentral:rRNA from 1 species